rnacentral:rRNA from 1 species
UACGAAGGGGGCUAGCGUUGCUCGGAAUCACUGGGCGUAAAGCGCACGUAGGCGGAUUGUUAAGUCAGGGGUGAAAUCCUGGAGCUCAACUCCAGAACUGCCUUUGAUACUGGCGAUCUUGAGUUCGGGAGAGGUGAGUGGAACUGCGAGUGUAGAGGUGAAAUUCGUAGAUAUUCGCAAGAACACCAGUGGCGAAGGCGGCUCACUGGCCCGAUACUGACGCUGAGGUGCGAAAGCGUGGGGAGCAAACGGG